rnacentral:miRNA from 1 species
GGGGUGUGUGGCUUCUGCUGGCUUUUCUACGAGGUGGAGGAAUUCCCCCACCUCAUAGAAAAGCCCGCAGGAGCCGCACACCCU